rnacentral:lncRNA from 1 species
AAGAAUUAAGUGCAUUUUGUGAAAUUCAAUUCAAUUGCCAUGCAUGAGCUGAUUACACUUAAUAUACACGUCCAUUUGCAUUUCACAUGAACUCAGUAGGUCAUUUCAGUCUUCAUUGGGCCUUCCACAUGAUCACACAAGCCCAUGCAAUGCAAAAUCCAUUUGCCAUGCACACGAGUUAACUCAUGCAUUCAGCCUUCUCCAACUAUAAAUACAUGUG